rnacentral:lncRNA from 1 species
GUCCUCGGCGUCGCGACGCUCCGUUCGCUCAGUGAAUCCUUCUCCUUCGCAGUGAUUGUGCCGUCUCUCCGCCGCUACUCCGGGCCCCAGUUAUUGUUUACGUCCAGCUUCAGUUUUACUUUUCUCGCGUUUUAUUGAUUUUCCCCCCCGCCGGCCCGCGGUUCAGUUACGCUCGAUCCGCUUCCACGUUGUUCUUGGUGCUCGUCGGCUUGACGCCCGGAUCCUAAUAGUGUUGUGCGGAAGUCCUUGCAGCUCUUCUUCCUCAGUGUUUCGUACUACUCUCGAAUGGAACUAGUUUAUUGGAGCGUCUGAUUUUCCUCAGAAUCCAUGAUGAAAAACCCAGAUUCUCAAAAGAGAUGAUGGCGGCAUGUGAAAGAACCUCAAGAGGAAAGGAGGUCUCGAUGACCGGGCAGUGGAAGUCUUUAUGGAUUUUUUCGUUAUUUUUCUCUAAUAUUUUAAAUCAAAUAACAAGCGCUGUCGCAGUCUACAAUGACUUCGAGGUAAAGUUAUUUGGUAUCCUCAAUCAAAUUUUUGAUCGAAACUUGAACCCAACAAUUCGAGGCUAAAUAAAAUUUAUGCAUCUACAUCCCUCUAUUUCACUGGAAAAAAACACAUUGGAUCUAGAGUCCAGACUCUUGAAAACAUUAACAAGAAAAAAUUCUCUUGAUUCAAUCAGAUUUAAGCUUAAAUCAAAAUGAAAUCCGCGCAAAUUAAGAGGCUUGCUUCUUGAUUUGAGAAAAAAUCCGAUUGAAUCAAGAGUAUUUUUUCUUGUCGAUGUUUUCAAAGAGUCUGGACUCUAGAUCAAGCUUGUACGGUAAAACUUCGAUGUCACUGAUUUCUGGGGACCAGCAAAUAAAGUCGUUAAAUCGAAGACCACAAUCCCGAUUUCAACCCACAAUUUUUCCUUGAAAUAUUCGGGUUUUCCAGUUUUGUACACACCACCUCCUCCCCUCUCAAGCAACGAUGAUAUAAUCCGGAAAAUUGGUGGGAAGAAAAAUAUGAAACAAGAUUAUUACAAACGAAACAAAUUACGUUUAUUACACUUCGUGUACAGCACAGUAAAAUUAUAAUCUUUGAACGAAAGAGCCAAGUGUAGACUGUUUCUGGCGGUCAACUUGAGCAUCUUUCUGAUAACCUUUAAUGAAGCAUACGGUAGAGACCCAUCUUUAGUUUUUAAUUUCUUGAGCGCUAAAUCCAAACCAGUUUUUGGGCGUACCUCUCAAAAAUACUUUGCAUAUAAACUCGAUUGUGCCAAACAAUCUCUGGUUGCAUAGUGGGUGGGGGCUUCAUAUAAAAAGGGUUGAAGACUGCCGUACCAUCGACCACCACAAAUGCACGUUUUCCGACUAGAGGUUAACAUUAAUGCUAUCUGAUUUGUUGUGUUCUUAUUGAUAAUUGGCUGAAUCCUUUGAGCCUCAAACUAAAGGUCGUGAUAUGGAGCUUUAAUAGCUGCUGGCGCUGUAAACCACGCUUUUACGUAAAUGGAUACAAUAAAAAUAGAAAGAUCACGGAUACCAUUCAAUUCAUACUAUGUUGUUGCAUAUUGCACAUUUUUUUUUUAAAAUUUUAUCGGCUUUACACAAAUUAUUUGAUUAACUUAAAACUUUUUUGAAAACCGAUUAUAUAGCACUUACUUUCUUAUUGUUCUCUACGCACUAUGGCCAUUUCGGGCAGGCAGGCCGCCCAUCUUCAGGUGACUCCAUUAGUAUGGAAAGGUUCAAAAAUCCUGCGUGAUAGCCGUAAUAAUCAUUCAAUUCUUCUUUCGCAAGCUUAAAUUGUUCCCUGAACAAAUACAUUUUUAGGCAGCACAGUGCUUUGGACAUCCGCCGUGCAUGGUAGAAAACGCUUGGUGCACGGAUUGUGAUGGCAACUUCGUUUCUCCCCAGGAACAAUAAUGUCAAUCUAAGGAGCUCCUCGUAGUCGUCGCGUGGCUUCUAGGUCCUUGCGAGUGCACUUUUUACAAAAUCUACAACUUCAACAGCUAUUGCAUUGCCACGCAAUUUUUUGGUAACCGUUAUAUCUUCCAAUGAACUUUUGAAGUUUGUAUAACAUCGACAUUUGGCCACCACUCUCUGAACCGGGCGGCAUUUUUGAAUCAAACGCUUCUCAAAAUGGGUUCUAAUGUACAUAUGGACGUAAUUCUAUCAAACGGAACUAUGUGCAUUAUGACGUGAGCCCUGUUAUUCGCAUAUGCUUAUGGGUCUAAGGGCUCAUGUCUAAAUGCACAUAGUUCCGUAUGUAGAAAUACGUACAUAUGAUGCCUACCCUACAGGCUAACCACAAAAGAGAUCUACUGAUCCAUGGAUCAAUUAUGACACUUGCGCCAGAGGAAUUUUAGAAAUAUGAGAUUAAAUCUGAUGUUACCACGUAAGAAAACGCCAAAAAGUGUGCUUAGUCACACAUUUUUAUGUGAAUAAGAACAUUUCUUCAUGGCUGAAUGACAGGCUCAACAUAGCGAAAAAUCGUUUUUUCCGGAUCAAAAUCGCCCGAUUGGGCCACUUUUGGGAGUAAAAAGAGGGGUUUUCGAAAACGGUCAACAAAUUUGAUCGCAUAAUCUUAAAGUACGUAGUAACUUGGACUACAUCACAUAGUUUUACUUGUUGAAGCAUCGUUCAUGAUACUCAAAGGAGAAGGCCAAAACGUAAAGUGCCGCGGGAGUGAAAUCCGACAUAAAGGCCUUUGGGGGUACGGUCAAAACUCAUUUUUUUUUUUUUCUCUCAUUUUUCAUUUUUCUCAUUUCAUUUUUCACUUUUUUUUUUCAACAAACUCUUUUUGCCGUUCAUUACUCACCAAAUGACACCCAUCGAAGGGUUUCGCCCGAUGAAAUUCGGAAAAGUCCAAAAUACGGGUCACCCUACCGCUACACUAAUUGAUGGACACAUUAAACAUGAGAAACAGAUGAGUCAAAAACAAAUGUAAAAUCUCUAGGAGGGAGCGGGCCUACGCAGUCCUCGCUAGGGGUAAGUAUUAAUCUUAAAGCAGAGUGUUCAGAUGAUACAAAAACUUGAUGA